rnacentral:rRNA from 1 species
UGGGGAAUAUUGCACAAUGGGCGCAAGCCUGAUGCAGCCAUGCCGCGUGUAUGAAGAAGGCCUUCGGGUUGUAAAGUACUUUCAGCGGGGAGGAAGGUGUUGUGGUUAAUAACCACAGCAAUUGACGUUACCCGCAGAAGAAGCACCGGCUAACUCCGUGCCAGCAGCCGCGGUAAUACGGAGGGUGCCAGCGUUAAUCGGAAUUACUGGGCGUAAAGCGCACGCAGGCGGUCUGUCAAGUCGGAUGUGAAAUCCCCGGGCUCAACCUGGGAACUGCAUCCGAAACUGGCAGGCUUGAGUCUUGUAGAGGGGGGUAGAAUUCCAGGUGUAGCGGUGAAAUGCGUAGAGAUCUGGAGGAAUACCGGUGGCGAAGGCGGCCCCCUGGACAAAGACUGACGCUCAGGUGCGAAAGCGUGGGGAGCAAACA